rnacentral:lncRNA from 1 species
GCUCUAAGUGCUUCUGUGGUGUCCCCUGCCUGUGGCUUGGCAGCAUGUCUGUGUCUGCAGUCCCCCACCUUCCCAUUUCCUGGGCCUUUCCUUUUUGUGGUGUGGGGACUGAACCCAGGGCACCUUGUCCUGAGCGACACCCCCUUCUGUUUUUUGAGACAGGAUCUGGCUAGUUGCUGAGGCCACAAGCUGUGUCACUGUGCCAAGCAUUUAGUUAUUUACUUUUAUGUGGCUCUCAGGAUGAGCUUGUCAAAUUCUGUUUCAAAAUUCCAUUUAGAAGUGUUAUUAACCUUCAUUGAAUUGAUAGACACUAGCCCUGCUUAGACUCCAUCAGUGCAGGUACACAAGCAGCGGAGCCAAAUGUGUCCUCCCAUAAAAUACAGGCCUCAAAGUACAGUCCAGACCACGGAGACAAGCUGAACGAGAUCCACCUCAUGUCCCCAUGCUGAGAAAUCCAGCAGCUGUGCCUGGCUGAGGGGGCAGGCUGGUCCUGGGGCCCUGCUGGGGCAUGGCUGCCCAGGGCCAGGGGACAGCCCUCUAGGAACCACCAACCACAUGCUGGGACAGCCCCAGGACUUCACAAGAGAAAAACCAACUGUAAUGGCAAGAUGAGAAAAGAUAUCACCAUCUUUGCCUUCCAAGUUCCCAAUGGCAAGGGACUUCUUAAGAUGGAAACAAACCAUUUUCCAGAGGAAUCUGGAAUACCUCCAAUGUUUCCAACUACCACAGCAUAUGAAGCAGGUGAAGUCGGAAGGGUAAAUUGGAGUCCUGUAGACAGCUAUGUGACUGAACAGCUGCUUUAUCCCCACAGGUGGAUAUCGAAGAUCUCCAUGAUGAAACAUGGAGGAAGACCAGUGCGCCAAAAGGAGAACCAAAGCUUCCCUGCCGUCACUUUGUGCCCUUUGGUCUCUCCGGCCUGGGCUGUCAAGUCCAGUGUUUUCGAUAAAUUCCCCUGAAAUUCUAAGAUGGAUCAGGAAAGAGUUGCCUGAUAACUGGCACACAGUCAUUAAAAGCUCACAGGCCCCUCAAGGCCCCUCUAACUGUUCCCCCCAAGAAAGAAAAGCCCAGAGAUGCUGAAUGUGAGCUCCCACCCGGCUGCCCCAGCGCUCCCAUCAUUCCUGCCUGAGUUCACCACUGACCUGCUGGGCACUGGGUUCUUCCCCUGGGGGUCUUCUAGAAGCCACAGCUAUGUCUCCAGCUGUGACAUCCAGCUCUCACCAGAGAGCCAGGCUGCAGAAGGGCUGUGACCACCAGUGUAAGCAAUGCUACAGCCUUGCUCUUGCAAGACUGGAAACUGCCAUUCCAGAAUCUACACACGCUUCCUUGAAGACGUGACCGGGUGUCCUCCAGGGCAGCAGCCUCAGGAAGGGUACUGGGUCUGCUCCCCAGCAGACCCCUCCUCUGCCGCUGCAUUAAGGGUUGCAAACAGCCCAGCGCUGUCCUAAAACCCUGCUGUGAAUGCGACAGCUCCUCCCCUCCCAUGAAGAGCUGACCCUCAGGGUAGUGGGCGACACCAUUCCGUGUGAGACACUGGAGCAUGGUCCAGUUUGAGAAUUUGCUUCAGAAUCAUUUUUCAAAGUAAAAUAUUAAGGAAUUGAGGGAAAAAAC